rnacentral:rRNA from 1 species
UGGGGAAUUUUGGACAAUGGGCGAAAGCCUGAUCCAGCAAUGCCGCGUGUGUGAAGAAGGCCUUCGGGUUGUAAAGCACUUUUGUCCGGAAAGAAAUCCUUGGGCUCUAAUACAGUCGGGGGAUGACGGUACCGGAAGAAUAAGCACCGGCUAACUACGUGCCAGCAGCCGCGGUAAUACGUAGGGUGCAAGCGUUAAUCGGAAUUACUGGGCGUAAAGCGUGCGCAGGCGGUUUGCUAAGACCGAUGUGAAAUCCCCGGGCUCAACCUGGGAACUGCAUUGGUGACUGGCAGGCUAGAGUAUGGCAGAGGGGGGUAGAAUUCCACGUGUAGCAGUGAAAUGCGUAGAGAUGUGGAGGAAUACCGAUGGCGAAGGCAGCCCCCUGGGCCAAUACUGACGCUCAUGCACGAAAGCGUGGGGAGCAAACAGGAUUAGAUACCCUGGUAGUCCACGCCCUAAACGAUGUCAACUAGUUGUUGGGGAUUCAUUUCCUUAGUAACGUAGCUAACGCGUGAAGUUGACCGCCUGGGGAGUACGGUCGCAAGAUUAAAACUCAAAGGAAUUGAC